rnacentral:lncRNA from 1 species
ACGUGGUGCCACACACUUAUAAUCCCGAUGCUUACGUGGGAAGUGUAGAAAAGGGGACCAGAAAUUCAAGCUAAUUUGCAGCUAUAUAGAGAGCACAGGAGCAUGAGUUGACAAGGUCAUCCGUCACUAUGUAGAAAGCUUGGGACCUACCUGGGCUACGUAAGACCUUGUCUCAAAAAAAAAAAAAAAAAAAGAUUAAAGAGAUAUAGCUCAAUUGUACAUGACUCUUGUUUGAGUUUUGAGUCAAACCACCUCUAAGAAAUUUUUAGGGUAGUGAGAAACAUUAAGCUGCAUGAUUGGAUGUAGCAGUCUUGUAGUUAUUAAAAAACAAAAUUCCCUAGAGAUUGUACCAGAUCAAAUGACAAAAGACAUGUAUUUGAUCUAAUGUACUCUUCUAGAGGUGAGGUUUUGAGGGAGCAGAGAGGGCAGGGAUAGAUUAAGAACUGUAGAAUGUCCGUUGUUGAUGAUGAAUACUCGAGAGUCCUCUUUUCUUUUCUUAACGUGGUAGGGGUUCCUUCCAUUCCAUCCACUUUGUGCAAGAGAAUUUUUAUAUUGAAGUAAAUAAAAACAUCUUGCACAAGGACUGCUCUUUAGGUCAAAUGAUUGUAUAACACACAAAUAUGUACUAAUUAAAUGCCAUAAUACUUACAAAAUGAACUUCUCUAGUGUUCAAUAGUGACUCAUUGCUUAGCUUACUUAGCAUGAACUUGUGCAUGUAUAACUUACCGUUCACUGCCUGUACGCUAUAGAAUAAGAAACUUGCUUUCUCUUAGUAUCAGAGCAUUCAAUUCAAAAUACUUUGUGACUUCCAGUCACUACAAUGUGUGAAAACUUCUCUGAAGACCCCAGCUGUAUGUCAUCUAAUUCAGUUUAUUUCUGAAGAUGAACUGUCAGAUCCCAUGUCUAAGUCUCUGUCCCUUCUCGUUCCUUCUUCAGAUGGGGUUUCUUAAACAGUUACUACAAAGGACAAAGAUUUAGCUGGAUAGCCAGUGGGAAGAGCUGCAUAGGGUGAAAUAUGGGGGGAGGGAGCAUGAUGAAUUUCUGUGCACCCUUACAUUUUU